GACGGAGGAUGCAAGUGUUAUCCGGAAUCACUGGGCGUAAAGCGUCUGUAGGUGGUUUAAUAAGUCAACUGUUAAAUCUUGAGGCUCAACCUCAAAAUCGCAGUCGAAACUAUUAGGCUAGAGUAUAGUAGGGGUAAAGGGAAUUUCCAGUGGAGCGGUGAAAUGCGUAGAGAUUGGAAAGAACACCGAUGGCGAAGGCAGCCCCCUGGGCUAACACUGACGCUCAGGCACGAAAGCGUGGGGAGCAAACAGG
rnacentral:rRNA from 1 species